rnacentral:rRNA from 1 species
CAAAAACAUGUCUUCUUGAUAAUAUUUUGAAGUCUUACCUGCUCAAUGAUUCAGUUUAAAUAGCCGCGGUAUUAUGACCGUGCAAAGGUAGCAUAAUCAUUAGUUUCUUAAUUGGGAGCUGGAAUGAAUGGUUUGACGAGAAAUUGACUGUCUCUUAAUAAUUUUUAGAAUUUAACUUUUAAGUUAAAAGGCUUAAAUUUUUCUUUUGGACGAGAAGACCCUAUAGAGCUUUACAUUUAUAAAUUAAUUUUUAUUAUUUAGUUAAUUUUUUAAUGUUAAUUUGUGUUGUUUGGUUGGGGUGAUUUGAAGAAUAAUUAAACUCUUCAUUAUUAAAUCAUUAAUUUAUGUUUAUUUGAUCCAUAAUUUGUGAUUAAAAGAUUAAGUUACCUUAGGGAUAACAGCGUAAUCAUUUUUAAGAGUUCUUAUCGAUAAAAUGGAUUGCGACCUCGAUGUUGGAUUAAGAUUAAUUAUGGGUGUAGUUGCUUGAUAAUUAGGUCUGUUCGACCUUUAAAUUCUUACGUGAUCUGA